rnacentral:rRNA from 1 species
AUUGAACGCUGGCGGCAGGCUUAACACAUGCAAGUCGAGCGGGGGAAGGUAGCUUGCUACCGGACCUAGCGGCGGACGGGUGAGUAAUGCUUAGGAAUCUGCCUAUUAGUGGGGGACAACAUCUCGAAAGGGAUGCUAAUACCGCAUACGUCCUACGGGAGAAAGCAGGGGAUCUUCGGACCUUGCGCUAAUAGAUGAGCCUAAGUCGGAUUAGCUAGUUGGUGGGGUAAAGGCCUACCAAGGCGACGAUGUGUAGCGGGUCUGAGAGGAUGAUCCGCCACACUGGGACUGGGACACGGCCCAGACUCCUACGGGAGGCAGCAGUGGGGAAUAUUGGACAAUGGGGGGACCCUGAUCCAGCCAUGCCGCGUGUGUGAAGAAGGCCUUAUGGUUGUAAAGCACUUUAAGCGAGGAGGAGGCUACUUUAGUUAAUACCUAGAGAUAGUGGACGUUACUCGCAGAAUAAGCACCGGCUAACUCUGUGCCAGCCGCCGCCGUAA